GACUAAGAGACAGUCAUGGGAAGCCUUCCUGCAACAGGACAAAAAGCACACCCCAGAAACGGUUGUGCAGUGACUGGGACCACAGGGAUGAACCGGACAACAAGCGGAGACGUCUAGUCACUCAUAAGCACAUGCUGCCACCUUCUGAGGUCCAAAACUCAUGUUGCAGCCCUCCACCUGCACAGAAGCGUCGCUUUGAAACUCCCUGUUGUUGCUGCCAUAACACCCCAGUUUGCAGGUUUCAAACACAACAGGGAAAAGAUGUCCGGCGGCAGCUGAAGGGAGAAGCCAAGAAGAGGAGAGCAGAGGCCAGGAAGAGGAGAGCAAAGGCCAAGAGGAAAGCAGAGGCCAAAAAGAGAACAAAGGCCAGGAAGAUAACAGAGGGCAGGAAGAUAGCAAAGGCCAGGAGGAGGCUAGGAAGAGAGCAGAGGCCACCUGCUUGAGGAG